UCCCUGAUGUUAGCGGCGGACGGGUGAGUAACACGUGGGUAACCUGCCUGUAAGACUGGGAUAACUCCGGGAAACCGGGGCUAAUACCGGAUGCUUGUUUGAACCGCAUGGUUCAAACAUAAAAGGUGGCUUCGGCUACCACUUACAGAUGGACCCGCGGCGCAUUAGCUAGUUGGUGAGGUAAUGGCUCACCAAGGCAACGAUGCGUAGCCGACCUGAGAGGGUGAUCGGCCACACUGGGACUGAGACACGGCCCAGACUCCUACGGGAGGCAGCAGUAGGGAAUCUUCCGCAAUGGACGAAAGUCUGACGGAGCAACGCCGCGUGAGUGAUGAAGGUUUUCGGAUCGUAAAGCUCUGUUGUUAGGGAAGAACAAGUGCCGUUCAAAUAGGGCGGCACCUUGACGGUACCUAACCAGAAAGCCACGGCUAACUACGUGCCAGCAGCCGCGGUAAUACGUAGGUGGCAAGCGUUGUCCGGAAUUAUUGGGCGUAAAGGGCUCGCAGGCGGUUUCUUAAGUCUGAUGUGAA
rnacentral:rRNA from 2 species